CCCAGCCGAGUGGACAAGGCACCUGCCCGGUAAGCAGAAGGGUGUGGGUUCUAUUGCCAAUCUGAGGGU